rnacentral:rRNA from 1 species
UACGGGGGGGGCAAGCGUUGUUCGGAAUUACUGGGCGUAAAGGGCUCGUAGGCGGCCAACUAAGUCAGACGUGAAAUCCCUCAGCUUAACUGGGGAACUGCGUCUGAUACUGGAUGGCUAGAGUGUGGGAGAGGGAUGCGGAAUUCCAGGUGUAGCGGUGAAAUGCGUAGAUAUCUGGAGGAACACCGGUGGCGAAGGCGGCAUCCUGGACCGGCAUUGACGCUGAGGCGCGAAAGCCAGGGGAGCAAACGGG